GCUAGUAAUCNCGGAUCAGAAUGCCGCGGUGAAUACGUUCCCGGGUCUUGUACACACCGCCCGUCACACCAUGGGAGUCGGGAAUGCCCGAAGUCAGUGGCCCAACCGGAAGGGGGAGCUGCCGAAGGCAGGCCCGGUGACUGGGUGAAGUCGUAACAAGGUACC
rnacentral:rRNA from 1 species